rnacentral:rRNA from 1 species
UACGGAGGGGGCUAGCGUUGUUCGGAAUUACUGGGCGUAAAGCGCGCGUAGGCGGACCUGCAAGUCGGGGGUGAAAGCCCGAGGCUCAACCUCGGAACUGCCUUCGAUACUGCGGGUCUCGAGUCCGGGAGAGGUGAGUGGAAUUCCUAGUGUAGAGGUGAAAUUCGUAGAUAUUAGGAAGAGCACCAGUGGCGAAGGCGGCUCACUGGCCCGGUACUGGACGCUGAGGCGCGGAAAAGCGUGG